rnacentral:rRNA from 1 species
AUUGAACGCUGGCGGCAUGCUUUACACAUGCAAGUCGAACGGUAACAGGCCGCAAGGUGCUGACGAGUGGCGAACGGGUGAGUAAUGCAUCGGAACGUGCCCAGUCGUGGGGGAUAACGCAGCGAAAGCUGCGCUAAUACCGCAUACGAUCUGUGGAUGAAAGCGGGGGACCGAAAGGCCUCGCGCGAUUGGAGCGGCCGAUGUCAGAUUGGGUAGUUGGUGGGGUAAAGGCCCACCAAGCCAACGAUCUGUAGCUGGUCUGAGAGGACGACCAGCCACACUGGGACUGAGACACGGCCCAGACUCCUACGGGAGGCAGCAGUGGGGAAUUUUGGACAAUGGGCGCAAGCCUGAUCCAGCAAUGCCGCGUGCAGGAAGAAGGCCUUCGGGUUGUAAACUGCUUUUGUACGGAACGAAACGGCUCUGGUUAAUACCUGGGGCUAAUGACGGUACCGUAAGAAUAAGCACCGGCUAACUACGUGCCAGCAGCCGCAGUAAUAC